CACAUGCAGCCGAGCGAUAGAGAUCUUUCGGGAUCUUGAGAGCGGCGUACGGGUGCGGAACACGUGUGCAACCUGCCUUUAUCUGGGGGAUAGCCUUUCGAAAGGAAGAUUAAUACCCCAUAAUAUAUUAUAUGGCAUCAUUUAAUAUUGAAAACUCCGGUGGAUAGAGAUGGGCACGCGCAAGAUUAGAUAGUUGGUGAGGUAACGGCUCACCAAGUCAGUGAUCUUUAGGGGGCCUGAGAGGGUGAUCCCCCACACUGGUACUGAGACACGGACCAGACUCCUACGGGAGGCAGCAGUGAGGAAUAUUGGACAAUGGGUGAGAGCCUGAUCCAGCCAUCCCGCGUGAAGGACGACGGCCCUAUGGUUGUAAACUUCUUUUGUAUAGGGAUAAACCUUUCCACGUGUGGAAAGCUGAAGGUACUAUACGAAUAAGCACCGGCUAACUCCGUGCCAGCAGCCGCGGUAAUACGGAGGGUGCAAGCGUUAUCCGGAUUUAUUGGGUUUAAAGGGUCCGUAGCCGGGCUCGUAAGUCAGUGGUGAAAUCUCAUAGCUUAACUAUGAAACUGCCAUUGAUACUGCGAGCCUUGAGUAAGGUAGAGGUAGCUGGAAUAAGUAGUGUAGCGGUGAAAUGCAUAG
rnacentral:rRNA from 1 species